UAUUUAAAGAACUCUGUAAUUACCUUAAAUUGACGGGGGAAGAGGUUAAGAAGAGGUGGUGAAUGGUGGAGGAGGAAGAGAAGAUGUCCAUGGUGCAAGGUUUUGUCUCUGAGUGGGGUGUUGCUUUCCAUCCCUUGUUGUCAAGGUCUGUUAAGGAAAUGGUGGAAGAGCACUUAGCCGAAGAAGAGAACCCCACCCCCAUUUCUGACCAUCCUUUCAUAUUCCUUGGUUUGGG